UACUGGGAAAACCAUAGCUUUUACUAUACGGACCUUUGUUGGCAAGUAUUCAGAAGGAUCUUGUUUACGUGUGGCAUGGCGGAGCGCUCAGCUACACAGGAAGUAUGAAGUGUUCUACCCUGGAGACACAGGCUUGCUGCCUCAACGAACAGCAGGAUGGCUGCUCUGAAGUGACACCCGCUGCCCCCCAAGUAAUGGCACAGGGUAGCAGCCGCGAUCUCUGCAAUUUAGGAACCUAGAAACACAUUGCAAAAAAUCAGUCCAUACAAAUUUGAUAAAGCUUGCUUCACACACACACACACACAGGCCAUUACUGUAGGCACUUGCCCCAACUUUUGCUACCCAGCUCUUAUUCAAAGCGCAAAACAUAAAAGAUUCCACAGAAUUUGCCUGUUCUGCAUUUCAAAGCCUAUUGAACAUAAGCACUUUUUUGUUUUGUUAAAAAUACACAUAUCUUACCAUCCCAUUAUUGUAUUUAUAUUUUAAAGACUGCUAAAGGCCCCUAUUUAAAUGAAGUGCUCAGCAUCUCAUGAUGGCUCCUGUCGUACUAUUACCCAGCCCUAUGAGUGUUUUCUGCAGUGAUCAAUACAAGCUAGAAGACCAAUUGGAAAAUUUACAAAGAAUGAAUAUGUUUUAACCUGUUAUUUGUGGCAACUUUUUGUGUGCAAGAAUAAAUGGGAUUUAUUUAUUUUGAA